rnacentral:tRNA from 1 species
CGGGGAUUAGCGCAGCCUGGUAGCGCGUCUGGUUUGGGACCAGAAGGUCAGAGGUUCGAAUCCUCUAUCCCCGACCA